rnacentral:lncRNA from 1 species
CACGGACACGCUAUUGGGUGCUGUCAGGCAAACACCCYRAUGCGUUUCAUGUGCGUCCUGGGGGGAUCCGUGUGCUUCCAACGUUUGAGAUUAAGCCAGUGCCUGGGAAGAAAGGCAGAGACCCUGCCCCUGAGGGAUCCCAGGAGAGAGAAGUCUCAGCGAGUCCUCCUGAGCAGCAGCAGCACCGUCGAAAGAGGCGUUCUCCAGGCCGAUUAAAAGAGGCCAAGGCAGCAAAAGGGCAGCAAGGCAGGAGAAAGAAGCCUAUGGACAAGGAAGGUUUUGAUCAUCUGUUAUCUACCAUGGGGGCAUAUUUGCAGCCUGCCAAAGAGGAGGAGUUGGGAGAAGAGCAGGCUAAGGAGAGAGAGCAAAAAGGUAAAGUAAGAGAUGAAUGCUGACACAGGCUUGCRGGCUUCCUUAGUGCCGCAGGAUAACAGCCAAA